rnacentral:rRNA from 1 species
CCAGACUCCUACGGGAGGCAGCAGUGGGGAAUAUUGCACAAUGGGCGCAAGCCUGAUGCAGCGACGCCGCGUGAGGGAUGGAGGCCUUCGGGUUGCGAACCUCUUUCGCCAGUGAAGCAGGCCUGUCCCUUGUGGGUGGGUUGACGGUAGCUGGAUAAGAAGCGCCGGCUAACUACGUGCCAGCAGCCGCGGUAAUACGUAGGGCGCGAGCGUUGUCCGGAAUUAUUGGGCGUAAAGAGCUCGUAGGCGGCUGGUCGCGUCUGUCGUGAAAUCCUCUGGCUUAACUGGGGGCUUGCGGUGGGUACGGGCCGGCUUGAGUGCGGUAGGGGAGACUGGAACUCCUGGUGUAGCGGUGGAAUGCGCAGAUAUCAGGAAGAACACCGGUGGCGAAGGCGGGUCUCUGGGCCGUUACUGACGCUGAGGAGCGAAAGCGUGGGGAGCGAACAGGAUUAGAUACCCUGGUAGUCCACGCCGUAAACGUUGGGCACUAGGUGUGGGGGGCCUUUUCCGGGUUUUCCGCGCCGUAGCUAACGCAUUAAGCGCCCCGCCUGGGGAGUACGGCCGCAAGGCUAAAACUCAAAGGAAUUGACGGGGGCCCCGCACAAG